GCCACUGUCAACAUGUGGAUGUGAAAACGAAAGUAAAUUAUUUAUCGUGGAAUAAUUACAAUUAUUGUUUACCCUUCUACGUGGAAUUUAUAUGGUAAUGGUAUGAAUUGAGAUGAUUUAUUUAGUUACCUUCAACUGUUCAGUGGUCAACAAGAGAGUAUUAUUGUGUGUCUUGAAGCAUUGAAUGCCCCAAAACAACCAGUAUGAUAAGAAGGUAUACCAUUUAGAUUGAAAUUAGCCAUGGACAAUGAAUUUGGAGGUGCAUGCAGGAGCAUCAGAAAUAACAGACUUGGAAUACAUAUUUUACAUAAUAUACAAGUAACAUUUACUGAAAAGUGACAAAUGUUUAUGUUAAUAAAGUGCAAUAUCCAUUUUUGUAACAUUUACAUGGGGGUAAUAAUUACAGUGUUGAAAAAGACUACCAGUGAUACAUUUCAAUCUAAGUUACAGUGUGGAUGCUAAUUCUAAAUUCUUGAUAGUCAAGUGUUUUUAAUAACUUAUAGAUACUAAUUAUAUAUCAAACUGUUUAAUUUAUCACUUCCUACAUCAUUAUUUUACAUAAAAUGUUUGUGGUUAUAUAAUAUAUGUUUAUAUGGUAAUAAAUUUUGUUUCUGUUUAAAUAUCUUGGUUUUUGAAAAAUGAAAAUGAAACAUUCAGUGACCAUCUUCUGUCAAGAAGUUAUUAUAUGAGAAAAAAGCUGAUAUAUACAGUCUAGAGUCUUCUAGUAAGCUGCAUAAUUAUGCUUGGAACUAGCUCCAUAUUUCCUUUCAUUUGAAGUCAUAAACUUUACUUCAUAUAAAAUAGCCAAGUAUCACAAUUGUAUGAAUACACAACUGAAAAAACACUGCAUUCAGUUUCUAAACUUUAGCAUUUGGUUAUUACACAUAUUUGGCUUUCAGUAACUGGAAAGGUAAUAAAAGGAAUUUAUGAUUGUACACAAAAUAUGGAGAAGUCUGAAAGCAG